rnacentral:tRNA from 1 species
AUCUCUUAAGUAUCUUAGUACAUUUACCUUCCAAGUAAAAAGUUUAAUUAAUUUUAAAAGAAAUA